rnacentral:rRNA from 1 species
UACGAAGGGGGGCUAGCGUUGUUCGGAAUUACUGGGCGUAAAGCGUGCGCAGGCGGCUUUCCAAGUCAGUGGUGAAAGCCCGGAGCUCAACUCCGGAAAUGCCAUUGAAACUGUGAAGCUUGAGAACGAGAAAGGUGAGUGGAAUUCCCCAGUGUAGAGGUGAAAUUCGUAGAUAUUGGGAAGAACACCAGUGGCGAAGGCGGCUCACUGGCUCGUAACUGACGCUCAUGCACGACAGCGUGGGGAUCAAACAGG